GAGGAAACCUAGAGAAGCUGUGGGGGACGAGUCUGCCCCAAACCUGCCCUGCCUAGCUCAGCACGGCCAGCUCCCUGUCUGGAGGAGGAACAGAGAGAAGGCCUGGGUCAUCAAGCCCACGCAGGGUUGCAGGAGCCCAGCACCCUGAGCAGGGUCAUGCCUAUCCCUGUCCUGCCUGACUCUGCCUGGGGCACCAGGAUCCUCUUCUGGGCUGUCCUUUGUUUCCUGGGAGCAGGUUCAGUGAAUAUUGGAGUCACCCAGUCCCCAAGAUACCUAAUCACAGAAAAGAAGGGACAGGCCACUCUGAAAUGCUAUCCCAUUUCAGGACACAAGAGUGUAUCCUGGUACCAAAAGGCUCCAGACCAGGGCCCCCAGUUCCUUGUUUCAUAUUUUGAAGAGAGCGAGUACUAUAAAGGCAUCAUCUCUGAUCGAUUCUCAGCUAAGCAGUUCAGUGACAACCACUCUGAAAUGAACAUGAGCUCCUUGGAGCUGGGAGACUCUGCCUCGUACCUCUGUGCCAGCAGUUUGGACACAGCCUUGCAGAGCUACUGGCUUUCUGUACCCAAACCUUCCUGUCCCAGCUGA